AGAUUGAACGCAGGCGGCAUGGUUAAAGCAUGCAAGUCGUACGAGAAACGAGCUUCGGCUCGUGGACAGUGGCGAAAGGGCGAGGAAUGGUAUCGAACGUACCCCGAGGUGGAGGAUAGGUCAGGGAAACUUGGCAUAAUACUCCAUGAUCUCCAAGGAGCAAAGCUACGGCGCCUUGGGAGCGGCGAUACUCCUAUCAGGUUGUUGGUGGGGUAAAGGCCUACCAAGCCGAAGACGGGUAGCGGGUGUGAGAGCAUGACCCGCCGCAUCGGGACUGAGACACUGCCCGGACUCCUACGGGAGGCUGCAGCGACGAAUAUUCCGCAAUGCGCGAAAGCGUGACGGAGCAAUGCCGCGUGCAGGAUGAAGCGGUUUCGCCGUGUAAACUGCUGUCAGGGUCUAGGAAGAUCUGACCAGACCCAGAGGAAGGGCCGGCUAAUCUCGUGCCAGCAGCCGCGGUAAUACGAGAGGCCCGAGCGUUACUCGGAAUCACUGGGCUUAAAGGGUGCGCAGGCGGAUCGGAAAGCAUUUUGUGAAAUCCCACGGCUCAACCGUGGAACUGCAGAGUGAACUUCCGGUCUUGAGGUAGGUAGAGGCUGACGGAACCAUUGGUAGCGGUGGAAUGCGUAGAGAUCAAUGGGAACGCCAAAGGCGAAGGCAGUCAGCUGGGCCUUACCUGACGCUGAGGCACGAAAGCGUGGGGAGCAAACAGGAUUAGAUACCCUGGUAGUCCACGCCCUAAACGAUGUGCACUAGAUCGGAGCGGCUCUGAUGUCGUUCUGGUCGCAGAGAAAUCAUUAAGUGCACCGCCUGGGGAGUACGGUCGCAAGGCUAAAACUCAAAGGAAUUGACGGGGGCUCACACAAGCGGUGGAGCAUGUUGCUUAAUUCGAAGCAACGCGAAGAACCUUACCCGGGUUUGACAUGUAUGGAUUAGCUCUUGGAAACUUGAGUAACGCCCUUUGGGUGGAACAUACACAGGUGCUGCAUGGCUGUCGUCAGCUCGUGCUGUGAAGUGUCGGGUUAAGUCCCUUAACGAGCGCAACCCCUAUCGCUAGUUGCCAACGCGUCAUGGCGGGGACUCUAGCGAGACUGCCGGUGUCAAACCGGAGGAAGGUGGGGAUGACGUCAAGUCCGCAUGGCCCUUACGUCCGGGGAUGCAAACGUGCUACAAUGGCGUGUACAAAGCGAUGCGAGACCGCAAGGUGGAGCAAAUCGCAAAAAGCACGCCCCAGUUCGGAUUGCAGGCUGCAACUCGCCUGCAUGAAGUCGGAAUCGCUAGUAAUCGCAGAUCAGCUACGCUGCGGUGAAUACGUUCCUGAGCCUUGUACACACCGCCCGUCAAGUCAUGGAAGCCGGGAGUGCCCGAAGUCGCCAUAUUUCAAUGGUGCCCACGGCAAGUUCGGUGACUGGGACUAAGUCGUAACAAGGUA
rnacentral:rRNA from 1 species